GGCACGGAGAGGAGGCGUGGAAGGGGAUCCCGUUAACAGGUUUAAAAGGGAGUUUCAUUCAUAUAAAUGAUCAAGAUUGUGACUGGCAUAUACAGUGGAAAAGGAAGAAGGGCAAGCGUUUUACUAUAAUUUGGAACCUGAACACCUAAGUUACAAAGGCAGAAGAUCUGGCAGCUUCAACACACUUGUUUCAUUACCUUCACACCCAGGGAGGGCAAGAAGCAACAGCAAGGAAUGACAGCUCUGCAGCUCUGCCCCAGGAGAGGAAGGAGAUAUUAGGGAACUGGGCUGGAGAAAAGUGCUGGAUAUUUUUCAUUCUCCCUAAUUUUAAAAAGCAAGUAGUCUUUAACUUUUUGCCUUG
rnacentral:lncRNA from 1 species